AAGUCGUAACAAGGUUUCCGUAGGUGAACCUGCGGAAGGAUCAUUAUCACGUAUCCACGUAUAAACCAAACCGAGAACUGUUAUCAACCUUUGGAGGAUUAAGCUGAAUGGGGCUCACGGUUCAUUGUGUGAUUUUGAAUCGCCCAUUUGCCUUGAAGCUGCUUCCGGGCUCUUCAUAACAUGGCUUUCUCUUCUGAAGCGUAUCUUAAAUCACACGUUAUUUAACAUUAUUAACCACUUGAACCCUUUAUUUUUAUCUUUGUUUGAACUGAUUUGUUUCUUACUCGAUCGGAAACGGUCUGAGAAGAAAUUAAUUACGAAACAUAAGAACAACUCUUAGCAACGGAUAUCUUGGUUCUC
rnacentral:misc_RNA from 1 species